rnacentral:rRNA from 1 species
CGGGAACAGCUCAUAGCCGAACCGCUGGCCAUCUCGGUCAUGCGGAAUGUGGCGUUUGGAAGGGUCUCUUCCACGGCAUAGACACCAGUCAAAGUCCAACUUGACAGUGGCCACAGCCCAUAGAGGGUGAUAGGCCCGUAAGGCGGUUGUCUUGCUGUGCUGACCUCUUCCCCGAGUAGGGUUGCUUGAGAGUGCAGCCCGAAGCGCGAGGUAAACUCCUCGUAAAGCUAAAUAUGACCCCAAGACCGAUAGCAAACAAGUACAGUGAUGGAAAUUUGCAAAGAACUUUGAAGAGAGAGUUAAAAGUACGUGAAACUGUGUGGUUGUAAACGAAGCCUCCCUCGAAGUGUUCCCGGGCGAACCCAACCUAGGGCUGGGGCAGCUCUUGCCACCUGAUCAGCAAUGACUGGUGGCGUGAUGCUUGCUCUGGCCACGGGUGCAUCUUUGCCCGGGUUUACGGCAGGAACUGUUGGGACUGGACCGAAGGCCUGGGAUGAAGUUUUCGCUUCGGCGUUAGCUCCCGGUGUCCUGGCUCCGGACCCGACAGGCAAAUCCGUGCGGACUUGUACAGCAAGCAACGCUUCUGUUGCGGUCCGCCGUUCCCUGCCGAGUAGGUCGGUGAAGGCUUCGACCCGUCUUGAAACACGGACCAAGGAGUCUAACAUUUGUGCGAGUCAUCGGGUUGACUAAACCUGUAGGCGCAGUGAAAGCAAAGGGCUCUUUGCAGCUCCGAGGGACGACCCUUAACCGGUGCAGUCCCGCCAUUUCCAAUCAUCCUCGCAUGUUGGGAAUAGGUAGAGCAUAAAUGUUGGGACCCGAAAGAUGGUGAACUAUGCCUGCUCAGGUUGAAGUCAGGAGAAAUCCUGAUGGAGGACCGUAGCG